rnacentral:rRNA from 1 species
CCAGACUCCUACGGGAGGCAGCAGUGGGGAAUAUUGCACAAUGGGGGAAACCCUGAUGCAGCGACGCCGCGUGAGCGAUGAAGUAUUUCGGUAUGUAAAGCUCUGUCAGCAGGGAAGAAAAUGACGGUACCUGACCAAGAAGCCCCGGCUAACUACGUGCCAGCAGCCGCGGUAAUACGUAGGGGGCAAGCGUUAUCCGGAUUUACUGGGUGUAAAGGGAGCGUAGACGGCAGGGCAAGUCUGGAGUGAAAGGCGGGGGCUCAACCCCCGGACUGCUCUGGAAGCUGCCAGGCUGGAGUGCAGGAGAGGUAAGUGGAAUUCCUAGUGUAGCGGUGAAAUGCGUAGAUAUUAGGAGGAACACCAGUGGCGAAGGCGGCUUACUGGACUGUAACUGACACUGAGGCUCGAAAGCGUGGGGAGCAAACAGGAUUAGAUACCCCCGUA